UGUAUUGCUAGAUAUGUGGCCUCAAAAAACC
rnacentral:piRNA from 1 species